GAUGAACGCUGGCGGCGUGCCUAAUACAUGCAAGUCGAGCGAACAGACGAGGAGCUUGCUCCUCUGACGUAAGCGGCGGACGGGUGAGUAACACGAGGAUAACCUACCUAUAAGACUGGGAUAACUUCGGGAAACCGGAGCUAAUACCGGAUAAUAUAUUGAACCGCAUGGUUCAAUAGUGAAAGACGGUUUUGCUGUCACUUAUAGAUGGACCCGCGCCGCAUUAGCUAGUUGGUACGGUAACGGCUUACCAAGGCGACGAUGCGUAGCCGACCUGAGAGGGUGAUCUGCCACACUGGAACUGAGACACGGUCCAGACUCCUACGGGAGGCAGCAGUAGGGAAUCUUCCGCAGUGGUCGAAAACCUGACGGAGCCACGCCGCGUGAGUGAUGAAGGUCUCCGGAUCGUAAAACUCUGUUAUUAGGGAAGAACAAAUCUGUAAGUAACUAUGCACGUCUUGACGGUACCUAAUCAGAAAGCCACGGCUAACUUCGUG
rnacentral:rRNA from 1 species